rnacentral:rRNA from 1 species
UCGAGGAUCAUUCGCAAUGGGCGCAAGCCUGACGGUGCGACGCCGCGUGUAGGAUGAAGGCCUUCGGGUUGUAAACUACUGUCAUGAGGGAGCAAGAACUCUAGCUCUAAUACCGCUAGGGAGUGAUAGUACCUCAGGAGGAAGCCACGGCUAACUCUGUGCCAGCAGCCGCGGUAAUACAGAGGCGGCAAGCGUUGUUCGGAUUUACUGGGCGUAAAGGGUGCGUAGGCGGUUCCGUGUGUCGGAUGUGAAAGCCCACAGCUCAACUGUGGAACUGCAUUCGAAACUACGGUGCUAGAGUACGGGAGAGGAGAGCGGAAUUCUGGGUGUAGCAGUGAAAUGCGUAGAUAUCCAGAAGAACACCGGUGGCGAAGGCGGCUCUCUGGACCGAUACUGACGCUGAGGCACGAAAGCUGGGGGAGCAAACAGG